AGAGUUUGAUCAUGGCUCAGGACGAACGCUGGCGGCGUGCCUAAUACAUGCAAGUCGAGCGGACCGACGGGAGCUUGCUCCCUUAGGUCAGCGGCGGACGGGUGAGUAACACGUGGGUAACCUGCCUGUAAGACUGGGAUAACUCCGGGAAACCGGGGCUAAUACCGGAUGCUUGAUUGAACCGCAUGGUUCCAAUCAUAAAAGGUGGCUUUUAGCUACCACUUACAGAUGGACCCGCGGCGCAUUAGCUAGUUGGUGAGGUAAUGGCUCACCAAGGCGACGAUGCGUAGCCGACCUGAGAGGGUGAUCGGCCACACUGGGACUGAGACACGGCCCAGACUCCUACGGGAGGCAGCAGUAGGGAAUCUUCCGCAAUGGACGAAAGUCUGACGGAGCAACGCCGCGUGAGUGAUGAAGGUUUUCGGAUCGUAAAACUCUGUUGUUAGGGAAGAACAAGUACCGUUCGAAUAGGGCGGCACCUUGACGGUACCUAACCAGAAAGCCACGGCUAACUACGUGCCAGCAGCCGCGGUAAUACGUAGGUGGCAAGCGUUGUCCGGAAUUAUUGGGCGUAAAGCGCGCGCAGGCGGUUUCUUAAGUCUGAUGUGAAAGCCCCCGGCUCAACCGGGGAGGGUCAUUGGAAACUGGGGAACUUGAGUGCAGAAGAGGAGAGUGGAAUUCCACGUGUAGCGGUGAAAUGCGUAGAGAUGUGGAGGAACACCAGUGGCGAAGGCGACUCUCUGGUCUGUAACUGACGCUGAGGCGCGAAAGCGUGGGGAGCGAACAGGAUUAGAUACCCUGGUAGUCCACGCCGUAAACGAUGAGUGCUAAGUGUUAGAGGGUUUCCGCCCUUUAGUGCUGCAGCAAACGCAUUAAGCACUCCGCCUGGGGAGUACGGUCGCAAGACUGAAACUCAAAGGAAUUGACGGGGGCCCGCACAAG
rnacentral:rRNA from 1 species